rnacentral:ncRNA from 1 species
AGGGUUCCGGUUCACGCCGUAACGCAGGCGACCCGGCGGCC